AUUGAACGCUGGCGGCAGGCCUAACACAUGCAAGUUGAACGGUAGCACAGAGGAGCUUGCUCCUUGGGUGACGAGUGGCGGACGGGUGAGUAAUGUCUGGGAAACUGCCCGAUGGAGGGGGAUAACUACUGGAAACGGUAGCUAAUACCGCAUAACGUCGCAAGACCAAAGAGGGGGACCUUCGGGCCUCUUGCCAUCGGAUGUGCCCAGAUGGGAUUAGCUAGUAGGUGGGGUAACGGCUCACCUAGGCGACGAUCCCUAGCUGGUCUGAGAGGAUGACCAGCCACACUGGAACUGAGACACGGUCCAGACUCCUACGGGAGGCAGCAGUGGGGAAUAUUGCACAAUGGGCGCAAGCCUGAUGCAGCCAUGCCGCGUGUAUGAAGAAGGCCUUCGGGUUGUAAAGUACUUUCAGCGAGGAGGAAGGCGUUGUGGUUAAUAACCGCAACGAUUGACGUUACUCGCAGAAGAAGCACCGGCUAACUCCGUGCCAGCCGCCGCGGUAAAAGGG
rnacentral:rRNA from 1 species